GGGAUGUGGAGGUGUACAAUAGAGUGAUUCAACAAUUUGGUUUCUUGGAGUCUCUGUUGAAUCUGUGGGCCAGACCCCACAGCGGAGGCUGCAGGAACUGUCUUCUGGCCCCAGCAGCUCAGCUCUGAUUGAGUCCACGGAGCCCACUUGGCUUCAGGCUCGUGG